AAGUCCCGUAACGAGCGCAACCCUCGUCGCGUGUUAUAUGUGUCACGCGAGACCGCCGGUAUUAAGCCGGAGGAAGGUGGGGAUGACGUCAAGUCAGCAUGGCCUUUAUGCCUGGGGCUACACACACGCUACAAUGGCCAGUACAAUGGGUUGCUAAGCCGCGAGGUGGAGCCAAUCCCCCAAAACUGGCCUCAGUUCAGAUUGCAGGCUGCAACUCGCCUGCAUGAAGCCGGAGUUGCUAGUAAACGCGCGUCAGCUAUAGUGCGUUGAAUACGUUCUCGGGCCUUGUACACACCGCCCGU
rnacentral:rRNA from 1 species